UACGGGGGGGGCAAGCGUUGUUCGGAAUUACUGGGCGUAAAGGGCGCGUAGGCGGUCAGCACAAGUCAGUUGUGAAAUCUCCGGGCUUAACUCGGAAAGGUCAACUGAUACUGUGCGACUAGAGUGCGGAAGGGGCAACUGGAAUUCUCGGUGUAGCGGUGAAAUGCGUAGAUAUCGAGAGGAACACCUGCGGCGAAGGCGGGUUGCUGGGCCGACACUGACGCUGAUGCGCGAAAGCCAGGGGAGCGAACGGG
rnacentral:rRNA from 1 species